CUGCGUCGGCUUAAGGCGGGCGGCGCGGGGCCCUCCUACUCUUCCCCGCGCCUCCCGACGCCCCUGCCCCGGCUUCACCCCGACGUCCCGGCGUGCGCGUCUGCCCGCCUGCCCGCGGAACCGGGGCCUCCGCCUGCCUGCCUGCCCGCCCGCCGCUGCGCCUCGCGGCCCCCGCUCGCGUUCACGCUGUCGCCGGGGCCAGCGCGGCCGCGGGCAACCGCUCCCCCUCCCGCCCCCACCCCGCCCCCUCCCCGCCUUUUCCGCCCUCCCGUCCCCCUCCCCCGACCCGCGGCCGCUGCUCCAGAUGAGGUGAUGGCAACGGCCAACUUCGGCAAGAUCCAGAUCGGGAUCUACGUGGAGAUCAAGCGGAGCGAUGGCCGAAUACAUCAAGCAAUGGUAACAUCUUUAAAUGAAGAUAAUGAAAGUGUGACUGUUGAGUGGAUAGAAAAUGGAGAUACAAAAGGCAAAGAGAUUGACUUGGAGAGCAUCUUUUCACUUAACCCUGACCUUGUACCUGAUGAAGAAAUUGAACCCAGUCCAGAAACACCUCCACCUCCAACAUCCUCAGCCAAAGUAAACAAAAUUGUAAAGAAUCGACGGACUGUGGCUUCUAUUAAGAAUGACCCUCCUCCAAGAGAUAAUAGAGUGGUUGGUUCUGCACGUGCACGGCCUAGUCAGCUUCCCGAACAGUCUUCUUCGGCACAACAGAAUGGUAGUGUUUCAGAUAUAUCUCCAGUUCAAGCUGCAAAAAAGGAAUUUGGACCUCCUUCACGUAGAAAAUCUAAUUGUGUUAAAGAAGUAGAAAAAUUACAAGAAAAACGAGAGAAAAGGAGACUACAACAGCAAGAACUUAGAGAAAAAAGAGCUCAGGAUGUUGAUGCUACAAACCCAAAUUAUGAAAUUAUGUGUAUGAUCAGAGAUUUUAGAGGAAGUUUGGAUUAUAGACCAUUAACAACAGCAGAUCCUAUUGAUGAACAUAGGAUAUGUGUUUGUGUAAGGAAACGACCACUCAAUAAAAAAGAAACUCAAAUGAAAGAUCUUGACGUAAUCACAAUCCCUAGUAAAGAUGUUGUGAUGGUACAUGAACCAAAACAAAAGGUAGAUUUAACACGGUACCUAGAAAACCAAACAUUUCGUUUUGAUUAUGCCUUUGAUGACUCAGCUCCUAAUGAAAUGGUUUACAGGUUUACAGCUAGACCACUAGUGGAAACUAUAUUCGAAAGGGGAAUGGCAACAUGCUUUGCUUAUGGGCAGACUGGAAGCGGAAAAACUCAUACUAUGGGAGGUGACUUUUCAGGAAAAAACCAAGAUUGUUCUAAAGGAAUUUAUGCAUUAGCAGCUCGAGAUGUCUUUUUAAUGCUAAAGAAGCCAAACUAUAAGAAGUUAGAACUUCAAGUUUAUGCAACCUUUUUUGAAAUUUAUAGUGGAAAGGUGUUCGACUUGCUAAACAGGAAAACAAAAUUAAGAGUGCUAGAAGAUGGAAAACAGCAGGUUCAAGUGGUAGGAUUGCAGGAACGGGAGGUCAAAUGUGUUGAAGAUGUACUGAAACUCAUUGACAUAGGUAACAGUUGCAGAACAUCUGGGCAAACAUCUGCAAAUGCACAUUCAUCUCGGAGCCAUGCAGUGUUUCAGAUUAUACUUAGAAGGAAAGGAAAACUACAUGGCAAAUUUUCUCUCAUCGAUUUGGCUGGAAAUGAAAGAGGAGCUGAUACUUCCAGUGCAGAUAGGCAAACUAGGCUUGAAGGUGCUGAAAUUAAUAAAAGCCUUUUAGCACUCAAGGAGUGCAUCAGAGCCUUAGGUAGAAAUAAACCUCAUACUCCUUUCCGAGCAAGUAAACUCACUCAGGUGUUAAGAGAUUCAUUCAUAGGUGAAAACUCUCGUACCUGCAUGAUUGCCACAAUCUCUCCAGGAAUGGCAUCCUGUGAAAAUACUCUUAAUACAUUAAGAUAUGCAAAUAGGGUGAAAGAACUGACUGUGGACCCAACUGCUGCUGGUGAUGUUCGUCCAAUAAUGCACCAUCCACCAAAUCAGAUUGAUGACUUAGAGGCACAGUGGGGUGUGGGGAGUUCCCCUCAGAGAGAUGAUCUAAAACUUCUUUGUGAACAAAAUGAAGAAGAGGUUUCUCCACAAUUGUUUACUUUCCACGAAGCUGUCUCACAAAUGGUAGAAAUGGAAGAACAAGUUGUAGAAGAUCACAGGGCAGUGUUCCAGGAAUCUAUUCGAUGGUUAGAAGAUGAAAAGGCUCUUCUAGAGAUGACUGAAGAAGUAGACUAUGAUGUAGAUUCAUAUGCUACACAACUUGAAGCUAUUCUUGAGCAAAAAAUAGACAUUUUAACUGAGCUGCGGGAUAAAGUGAAAUCUUUUCGUGCAGCUCUUCAAGAAGAAGAACAGGCCAGCAAGCAAAUCAACCCUAAGAGACCCCGUGCCCUUUAAGUUGGCAUUUGCUGCUAAAGGAUCCCCAGAACCCUCACUGUUUUAACAUACAAGGUUCAGCUGUAAGGGCCAUUUGAAAGUUUGAGAUUUUAAGUGUCUGUGGAAAAUGUCUUGUCCCUUCACCUGAAUGACAUUUCAGUUUUGUGAAACACAACUUUGUCUACAAAAUGCUUCUAGUCCAGAAGGCACAACCAAGAUUUGGGAAUAGUGAAGCAUUUUGUUUCAUUUACCCAAAUAGUGAUUUACUUUUGGAGAUCCUUGCCAAUUUUAUUUUCUAUAUGAUGAAGUAAGAUUGUGGACUUGAUCCAGGGGUGAGUAGUAGGGGGAAGCCACAGCAUUUCCUUUUAACUCGGUUCAAUUUUCGUAGCAAGACUGAGCAGUUUUAAAUCCUUUGUGUGCAUGCAUACCUCAUCUGUGAUUGUACAUACCGUGCCACUUAGGGACAGCUGUGCUCACCGCUUUCUGCUUUGUGCCUUGACUAAGGCUAUUGACCCUGAAUUUCUGAUGCACAGCCAAGUUAAAUUACAUUCCUUAUUUGUCAUUGUAAAUUACCUUUAUUGUGUGUACAUUUUUACUGUAUUUGAGGCAUUUUUUGUGUGUUGCUAGUUAAUUUUGCAGGAUGUGCCAUAUCAUUGAAUGGAACUAAAGUCUGUGACAGUGGACAUAGCUGCUGGACCACUCCAUCUUAUAUGUAAAGAAAUCUGGAAUUAUGGUUUUAAAACUUUUAACAUGUGGAUAUAAUUUUCUUAGCAUUUUCUUUGUAAAGAAAAUAUAAACUAGUUGGUGUAUAAUAAAAAGUAAUGGAAUUCUGAGAAGAGUUUUAUCUUAGGAUAAUACAUAUAUAUGCAGUGUGUCCCAGUGUGUUAUUAACAAGACUAAUAGUGCAAUUUGCUCCUUACCAAUACCAUUACUUAAGUUGAAGUGUCCAUUAGCAUCCCAAAAGGUACCUUUCAAAUGUACUGUUAAAGGAAAUUGGCUUCUGAUGCAUGAACAUUUACAUAAUACAUUGGAAGUAGUCUGUAAUAGAACUGUUAGUUUAAGCCAAGUAUAGACAGUACAUAACUCCCUUGAAAGAGAAUUAAGCUAAAGAGUUGACUUUGCCUUAAAAGGCAGAUCUAACCCAAGCUCCGUCCAUUACCUAAUGUAUGAUGUUUCACCAUUAUUUGGUGAGAAUCACCAAAUUCUCACCAAUAAAUUGGUCUAGGGUGUGCUACUUUUUAAAUGGUAACAUUUAUUUUUACAGAUUGCUACUCCAAGGAAGAAAACUGGCUACUUUUCAUAUACCUAAGAAAAAUGGAUACCUUCUGCAUUGAAUCCAUGUAACAAUCUGAAAAAAGAAGCCAAAGUGAGAUGGUAUUGAAAAACUAAUCUGUAGCGCACAUAACAAACAGUGCAUAUAGUUCCCAUUCUAUGAAUUCUAAAACAUGAACACAUCAGCAAACCUAUGAAGCCCACCCACUCCGAACACUAGUCAUUAAAGAAACAUUCGCCAACUAAAUGUAUAAGACAGUGAUUAAAACUCAUCUUUUUAAUACCUUUUUGUCAUAGCCUGUAUGUCCUAAAUUAUGAAUUUGAUUAAAAGUAUCAUAGACCUCUACUAUCCCAGACCUAAGAGCUCAUUAGCAAUUGUUUCAACAUGGUAAGUGAAAAAGAAGACUGGAAGAAAUUUGGUGAAAAUGAAAGAAAAUAAGAGGAAAUAUUUCUAUUUAGACCGGAGAUUAUUUUUAGGAUGGCUCGUAGGAACAGGUCAAGAUGGGUUAAAAUGUCUAAAAAAGGAAGCUAGGUAUUUAUGAGUAAUAUUUAACUCCUAGGAUUAACAUUGAAUAAAGACUCAGUAGUAUUACUAACCUGCCAAUAUAAAAUGUAAACCCUACUUGUCUUAGUUAUAUAGAACUGUAUUUCCAGCUUAGAAAAGUCAAACCAAUGACUUUUGUAACCAUUUACCCUUGUUUUUUUUAUUCAGCCCCUAGACCAUUGAAGCUUCAAAAAUGAAUUAGCUAAAGAGGCAAAAACUUCUAUAUUAAGUGAUGGUUUAUGAAGAAACCAAAGUGUUAGUGAUUAAAAACAGUGAGUAUAGGUUAAUAAUUACCUGGGUAACUGAAGCCUUAUUCUAUUUUCAUGAGACUUGUAUAAUUCAAGGCAAAUAAAUUUUGGUGUACAUUGCCCAGAUAAUUACAAAACAAGUAACUAUGUUACUAAAGCAAUUAUAAAUGAUAACCAGAUAUGAUUGUAACUGAAACUAUUUCAUGCUUAGGGUCUAUUUAACAAUCGCUAUGCCCAAUAAAGAAAAAGGUAAGAGCCCUAGCCAGUUUGGCUCAGUGGAAAGAGUGUUGUCCUGGGGACUGAAAGUUCCUGGGUUCGAUUCCAGUCAAGGGCACAUGCCUGGUUGCAGGCUCAAUCCCCAGUAGGGGGCGUGCAGGAGGCAGCCAAUCAAUGAUUCUCAUCAUUGAUGUUUCUAUCUCUCCCUCUCCCUUCCUCUCUGAAAUCAAUUUAAAAAAAUAUUUCCAUAAAAAAGAAAAAAGUGAGAUCCAACUACAUGUCUUAGGAUUCUUCUGCCCACAAUAGAUUAUGAAUAGGGAGACAGAGAAGAAAGUUAAAGGGGAGGACCAUACACACCACAACACACACUGACACAGGCAAUCUCCAGGCUAGGACUGUUAUUUACUACUGUUCUUAAAAUGUUCAUUCUGCUGCAGCUAACUAGCCUCCAUCUUCUACACCAAAUACCAUUCUAUGCCUUGGAAGUGCUAUGCAAUAACUCCCAGGUAGCACCUUACACCACUUAAAAGCCUUUAAAUCUCUCAUCUUAAGGUGUGACAGUAAAGUGUAAACACUUAGGAAAAGAAAAAUGUAAUUACCUGAUGAAGUCAUCUAUGUCCAUGGAACGGGCCCGCUUGUCACUAAAACCUGUGCUGGUUAGGAUUUGCUGUAUUUUAUCUGCUAUGCUGAAAUCUUCUGGUAUUAUCUAUCAAGAUUCAGAAUAAAUGAACAACAUAUCUUUAAUGAA